UCACUUCCCACCAUUCGGUCAAAACCCGAGCUCGCGCUUCUCUCUCUCAAAAUCACUCUUCAUCUCCCUGAUCUCACCAGUCAUCUAUCUCUCCCACUCUCCCUCUCAGCUUUCUCUCUCUUCCACUUAACAAAACUAUCUCUCUCUUCUCACAGCUCCCAUCUUUCUCCUUAGCCUUUACAAAAUCAGAGAAAGUGGGAAGAAGAAAACAUGUAGCGCGAAAUAGACGAUGAUUGAGAAAUCGAAACCCAAAUUUCUCUUACUCCUUCUCUCCACCCCUUUCUGCAAAACCCUAGCUUUCUCUCGCCGCCGCCCUAUCAAUUUAUGUUUCAGAUGAAAGGGUCAAUACAGAAGCCCACCGAACUGGUUGAAGAUCUCUACUCUCGAUAAUUUCAUAUCGAAGACCAGCUAGAACACGAGCUUGGCUUUGCACUCUAGCCAAGUCAAAUUGGAGAUGGACUCAAAGACGGGAAAACGGUUUGGAGAUGGAGUCAUGCACUCCUAGCAUUGGAUAUGACAAGUUCAUGUUCUUUACCUAUAAAUAAGAACCAUGAGCAGAUUUGAAUCGUUCGUUGUUUUGUGAAUCAAUUCGUUUCUCUGAUGGUUUUGCCCAUGGCGAUUGCACUUGGAAUUCUCUUUGCAGUGGUCGUGGUCCUUUAUUCGCUAAUCCUUCAUCUCAUUCCGGUGGUACUGCUCUGCGUCUCAGGCCUCUUUGCCAAUCUGGUUCAGGCGUUUUGCUUUGUUUUUAUCUGGCCGAUCUCAAAGAAUGCAUACACAAGGAUAAACGGCGUCGUUAAAGAACUAGAUUGGCUGGUUCUGCUAGGCCUCAUUGAUCGGUUUGCUGGCGUUAAGAUCCUAGUGUGCGCAGAGCAGGAAACGAGUCAUUUAAAGGGUAAAGAACAUGAACUUGUCAUAUCCAAUGCUAGGAGUGAUGCUGAUCAUCUUGUUGAACUGCGGGUUACCUCAACUCAGCGAAUGGCUGAGAGUUCAGUUCUUGAUGCACAUACUAGUGAAGCUCAAGAAUCUAACAGUUACCGGCACUAUGUGGCUUCAACAACCGAACGAGAUGGUGGGGCAAAUGCAAGGAAAAUAGAGAGCCGAGAGGCUAGUUGAGGAGGAAAAUAGAGAUAUGAAAUGCAAGGAAAUCAGAGUUUUCUUUAAGAUUCAAUUUGUUAAUGGACGUGUACCACAAUCUAUAUCAGAAAUACGAGGGUUGGUGUGCGAGGACAUAAUUGGGGGUCUAGAGGAUGUUGCCAUUCCAGCUAGCAAUUUGGUCGAUGAUCCGCCUGUUGCUCCUACAGG